rnacentral:rRNA from 1 species
CCUACGGGUGGCUGCAGUGAGGAAUAUUGGUCAAUGGGCGCACGCCUGAACCAGCCAAGUCGCGUGACGGAAGACUGCCCUACGGGUUGUAAACUUCUUUUGUAAAGGAGUAACUGGAGCCACGUGUACCUUUUUGUAUAUACUUUAUGAAUAAGGCUCGGCUAACUCCGGUCCCGCAGCCGCGGUAAUAAGGAGGAUCCGAGCGUUAUCCGGAUUUAUUGGGUUUAACGGGUUCGUAGGCGGACUGUUAAGUCAGCGGUAAAAGCCCGGGGCUCAACCCCGGCGAGCCGUUGAAACUGGCGGUCUUGAGAUGUCGAGAGGUAUGCGGAAUGCGUAGUGUAGCGGUGAAAUGCUUAGAUAUUGCGCAGAACUCCGAUUGCGAAGGCAGCAUACCGGCGGCGAUCUGACGCUGAGGCACGAAAGCGUGGGUAUCGAACAGGAUUAGAUACCCCUGUAGUC